CUGGAAAUAAUUUUGCAUCAUUAUUUCCAUCAAUAGUAGGGGACUAACUUGUGCAUUACUGAUUCUGCAGCAAUGGAGCUUCAAAACCAGCUUGCCUGAGGAAGGAGUACUCUCCCUCUGGAUUCUUAUCUCCCUGGAGAGACUGAAGUUCAUGAACUGCUGUCCAUGAAGGUCCGUGGUAGAGGAUUGCUCUUAACCCCAUAAAAAAAAAUUAAAAUCUAAAUAUCAGUGAUUGUCUCCUCCUUGAUGAAAGUGAAUAUAAGGAGUAGGUUGCCAUAGCAAAGAACAGAACAGAAGCUGGGAAUUUCCUUCUGGUUUUUGGCAGAAGAAAAGUGGUACUUUCCCUUUACUUCAGCUGCUGUUUACUCAGAAAUGACAAGCAGCAUUGUCCAGAUUGCAGACAGAAUAUCGAAGAAAACGCUCUCACCACCACCGGCCUGUAAGUUGGUGGCUGCUUAAUGACCGUGGGGACACAGAUGUCAAUCUCUUCAGGAAGAGGAGAUUGAAAUGAGGGCUCUCAUGCUCCAAGUGAUCUAAACAGUAAAAACAGACAGAA
rnacentral:lncRNA from 1 species